GGCAGGGCAAGGGGGUUGGUUAACAGAACCUUCCGGAGACAUCAACCCAGAGAAAAGCCGAGCCUCUCGUGCUCUUUCCUUGGAGCGGCCGCCCACGGCAGAAAGCCACCAGGGUCUCUAGCAUCUCCCAGUGGCCCAGGCCUUGACCGUGCUCACCGCCAAGGCAAGAUGCGGCCGGGCUCCCAGAGACUCUCCCGAGCCCCACGCCUGCCCUCCCCGGUGUGCCACAUGGCCUGAGGAUGGUUCCAGAGUAAACCAUGCCGCCUUUGAGCCCACCCUCUCCCCUGGAAAGGGUAAUCAGAAUUAGUGGCUGCCCGUAAUAACAAAACCCACAAAAGAGAAGCCAGAGCGGGCUGGAGUCUUGUUCUGAGUGCUUUCCCAGGAUGCCAUGCUGACUGGCCAGCUGAUGGUGCCCCCAACCAUCCUGUGCAGCUAAUGGCUCCUGUGUUUCCUGAGAAAGGCCUGGAACAUUCCAUCCAAGCCCCCUCGUGAACCUCUGUCAGUCAGUCCGGCAGGGGCCCAACAACACGCUUAGCGCGCCCGGUUCUUGCGAAGCCAGCCCAGAGCCGCUGCUCCAGGAGCACAGGGGCCCCUGGUGGCGUGCAGUGCCCCCGCUCCGGAACGCUGACCCUGACCGCAGUUGUUCAGAGGGUCGCCCGAUCCCCCGGCGGUCACGUCCCGGCUCCAUAUCCUAUUUAUUGUUUGUGCUGGACAGACUCUUCUCCCUCGUUACUUUGCAGCGUGAGCUCGAGUUUGCUGUGCGUUACGCAGCUAGAGAGAACACGUUGGCCUGUUUCAGUGUGGCUUGUACGAAUAGCUUUAUUCUCAUUUUAAACAGGUUCUCGACUUUUCUGAGGUUUGGGGGUGGGGGGAGUUUUCCAAAACCGCAGAUGACAAUGCAGAACAACCAUUGAAGGUGGUAGCCCCAGCCAGGAGACUGAAUGACACUAGAAAUCAUCAGGAGGAGACCUCCUUGGGACCCCAGAUCACUAUGCAAAACAAAACGAAACGCAACAAGAACCCAGAAGCCCCUGGAUGGCCGGCUCUCUGAAUAACAGUCACUCACCCUGUAGUACUCCUGCCGGCUGCCUGGUCCACCUCUGGCUCAGAAGCCGCUUCCCCGCCAACCUUCCCCAAGGACACAGCCUCUAAGGCACCCCCACCCAUAGCAAGGAAGGGUGUCGGGAUAAAGCGUGGCCUCUGCAGAGCCCUCGUGGCUGGAUCCCGCUGGCCUCCCGGUCACCUGGAUCACGAGCAGGCAAAGAAAUGCCCAAGAAGGAAUCUGGAACUGAAACAGCCCACCAGGCUUGAAAAGUAGAAAGGGAAAAAGCCACACGCUGCACCUGAAGAAGAAAGGGAAUGGUUUUCCUGAACGCUUCCAGUUAUCCCCUCGCCUAGGGUGGGGAAGUCAUCCUAGACUCAACGGAAAGGAAAUCCCCAUUUGGGAGUGAGAUCUCAGCGCCUGCGUUUUACGCGAAACUGGUUAGGUGUCCGCUGAGUUUUAAAGUGUUUUUAGGAGUUUCAUUUUUUAAGGCCCACCUUGGUACCCACACGUGAGAAUCCCACCCUUGGCUCGGAGGUGUUGAGAAUUAAGGCAGAGAGAAGCCAUCCGUGAUUCCAAGAACCAGGAGUCUUGCAGCAGAAACGAGCCAGCCAGCCAGGUUCGCAAAAACACUUAACCCCGAAAGGCACUUUUUAGUGGCGCCUUGGGUAAGUUUUUUCGUGGCGUUGUGAUUCUUCCGAGGAAACGGGAAUCAUGCCUCUUCCCUUGUAAUGGCUCUUGAAAAAAUAGUGAAGUCUAUCUUUAAAUUUCGGGAGACAUCGCUUCCUUAGACACAGGCUUCCUUAGAACCUUAGGAUGAGUGUUAUCCAGAGAUGCCCCUGCCUCUGGGGGCUGCACAGCGACGCCCAGGCCUUGGCUGGGCAGCUUCCAAAUCAGAAUUGCACUUUAAUUGACUAACCCUCCAUUCUCGAGGCCUUACGGGAUAGUGGGUCUGGGGACCCAUUGCGUUCUUACCUGCCAAAGAACUACCCAGGAGCACAUCAAAUUGCCAACACCCCACCUGCAUGGCGGGGGAGGGGGGGAGGUGAGAAACUUUUGUACCCCAAACAUACUUCUUUAUAGCAUCUGCGGCACUGUUUGGAACUGUUUUCUUUUUAACCUCAGGAUUUAAAUAAAGCAAACACUAUGACACAGGGAGUAGCGUCGUCUUUCUUUGCACCAGGACCCGAGGCGAGUGACGAAGUUACCCAAACCGGACCGGGGGUGUGGAGUCACCCUGCUGGGACAUAGAGCAUCGGCUUGUACCCCGGCUUUUUAGAAGGGCUCGAGCCACCAGAUGCUCCGGGAGGUUUGCCGUGUGGCCUGGCAUCUGGGUACUCCCACCCCCGCCAACCGUGAGGUCGGCGUUCAGGCCUGCUGGAGUCAAGGCAUCCUUCCAACCCGGCUGCUCUCCGCCAGAUGAGCAGAGAACACAAUGGUGACCUACCAGGACGGUGUGGGGGAGGGGGGGAAGGUCAUGGAUGCCCUAAAACCAUGCUCAGUUGGCCUGUGGUACAAAGCUGGGCAAAACCACAGGGCCACGGCAGCUGGCGGAGGAAGGAGUCACGUUCCCACCGUAACUUAACGCCUACUCCUGCUGAAUCAGCAGAGACCUGACACAGACCCAGAAGGGGCGGGACCCCGUCACCCCUGGACUGGUCAGAUGGAGCACACUCACCCCACACCCCGCAUCUGAGGAUCACAGCCCCCCUUCCCUCCCUCUCCCUUCCUCCUCCAACCCUCCCCCGGCGCCCAGAUUCUCAUGUGGCCUCUUCUCUGAUCAGCUACACAGGAAUAAGUUCUAUUUUCUGUAACCGUAACCAUGUUCUCCCUUGAGGGCAGGCACCGUGUUUCCUUCAUCUCCUUCCUUUCAGCCCCACAGCGUCAAGCAUCAUGCCAGACACAGAAGCGCUCAGCAGUUACCCAGUCAAUGAGGCCACCAGCCGGUCCCCAUGCUUGGUCAGCUCUGAGGCCAUCGCCAAUCCCAUUGGCCAACUUGGCCAGGGACAGGAGCCCCUGUAGCCCCCAUGGCACAGAAGGGCAAGCCUCCAGGAGGGGGUGUGGGGAGAAUGGAGGUCUGCCCUUUCGGUUUGAAGAUGCGUGGGAAAAAUCUGGCGAGGGGAGUUUGCCACCCACACAGAUCGGUGAAACCUGUCACCCUAGAUGAGAAAAUGGACUUUUUUUUUGUUUGUUUGAGAGAGAGCAGUUGAGCCGAAGCCAUCAGAAGCCAGGCGGAGAGCACAGCUAUCAUGAAAGCCGUUCAAAGUGGGUUAGGGUUGACAGAAAGGUCAGCCUUCUGUGUUCCCCACACGGUGGUUUCUGGAGGAGGGUGAACCCGAGCACAAGUGUGAUCGCCGGCCUCUGGGGUUUGAUACCUGUACCCCCGUCUCUCCCCAGCCCCCCUCCUUACCCCCCCCCCCCCCCCCGCGCUCUGCGGGAGGACGGGGCCCUGGUGUGGUUUCCUCACACCUUCGGGCAUGUAUGGACUGCGGUUGUCUCAGACGCGGCAGCCCCAUCUGAAGCCUGGAAUGAACUGUCUUCUUUGCUAAAAAAGAAAAAAAAAAAAAAGAACAAAGUCAGGCAUCAGCAAACCCAGUGCACGUGAGCGUCCUUACCAAAAGGAAGGCCUCGGACCCAGACCAGGUGGGGCUUGCGGGCCUGUGGCUCCCUAGAAUCACCAAAGGGAAGGCAAUUUCAAGUCAGGAGGGCCUCCCUCGCUUUCUGCCGAGGAGGAAGCCUCCGGCUGAACCACGAAAAGAGAAGGAAGUUUCCCGCAAGGGCCCGGAUACCUGUCGGCCAGGUCGGUGGAACAGGUACUGUCUUCUUCCCAGGAGAAAGGAAGGGGUGAGGGGAGGGGAGACGGGGGGAGGUAGUGAGGAAAGAGAGGUACAUGGGAGGGGCCUCCCAGAGGCCUCGGGGAGGGCCGGGCUGGAGUCUGGGUUAGCAGAACUCACCUUUCUCAUCGGAGAAAAUGGCAGCGUACGUGUGGCCAAGGCCAACCGCCACAUCCAGCGGAGACAACAUUUAAAUAGAAGGAAGACCUGGACGGUUUGCCAAAAAGACACGGAAGGCGGUGGCUGGAGACACGGGAAAGGUAGUCGGGUUUGUUCCUGUGUCUCUGGGCUUGGCUUCAGGGCUUCCUAUGCUCUCACAGAAAGGCCCUGAGGAGGGACGGCAGCCAGAGUCCUCCCCCCGCCGCCAGGCCUUUGCACAAGGGACGGGGUCCAUGUGUGGGACCAGAGGUCUUGGCAGGGACCGCCCUUCUCCACCAGCAAGGACCCCCAUGGAACCGUUGGGUGUUCUCAGAACGAGGACCACACGCUCACGGCCAUGCCAACUCUGGUUCAUCAGGCUGAGCCACCCAGAAGCCUGCUAGUGGAUCAGCGCAGGUGACCCGCUGGGCCACCCCGAGGUCCUUGAGGGUCACUGCCGUGUCACCACUGCAGUCAGAACUUCAGGAAAGGGGUGAAACGAACUCCUGGAUCUGUCCUCGAAUUUCACUCCGCCAGUGACCCCUGAACCUUGGAACGGGGACUUCUCCAACCUCAGCCCGUUGGCCCAAGCGCGGGGACACAGGAGCAGCGACUUCCUUCUUGGAGAGGAAGCUACUUCCAAACAAACCACCGGGGAGGAAACUGUUCUACGGGCAAAAGUUUUCACAGCCGCCAUUUCUUCCACGGCUCGUGUUUGCCUUCAAGGACAUGUCGCUCACUGACAGAUCGUUCCUCAAUGGGGAAACAUCCCCUGCCCCAAAUCCAAAGUGGCUCCAUCCAUGUCCAAAAUUUCAGAGUUCCAGGAAGAAACGGGAGUUCAGUGCCGACGGAUACGUGACGGGGGAGGUCGGGUCAAACAUGGGCUCCUCACCCGGUCAGGGACCAGAACUCAGAAGGUCCGGGAACUUGGAUAGGGGGAAAAUGGCCUCUUUCCCCUGACUCUGCACUAAAAUGUAGAUCUUCCCCCACCGUGAAUGUAAACAACGUGUCACACUAGCACAUGUCAGCAAGGGCUGUGAUUUCAUCGCCAAUGGAAAUGACAGAUGUUUUCUAUUUAACAGACUCUCAAAAUCUCAUCUCCGCUCUACAACAAAGGUUGUCAUCACACCCGCUGGUCGAUUUUACUUAAUGCAUUAAUAAUGGAAAAAAAAAAAGCACAGAUGUUACUGGCUCAUAAAUUUGUUCUGAUUUUUAGAGGAUUGUAUUUC